rnacentral:rRNA from 1 species
UAAUAUAAAGUCUAACCUGCCCAAUGAUAAUUGAUUUAAUGGCCGCGGUAUUUUGACCGUGCUAAGGUAGCAUAAUAAUUAGUUUUUUAAUUGAGAACUGGUAUGAAUGGUUGGACAAAGAAAAUUCUGUCUCAAAUUUAUUUUAAUUAGAAUUUUAUUUUUAAGUAAAAAAGCUUAAAUAAUUUUAAAAGACGAGAAGACCCUAUAGAGUUUUAUAUUAUUAUUUAUAAAUAAUUUAAGGAAUUUUAUAUUUUAUAUAUUUAAUAGUAUUUUGUUGGGGUGACAAAAAAAUUAAAUUAACUUUUUUUAUUUUAAAAUCAUUAAUUUAUGAUUAAAUGAUCCAUUUUUUAUGAUUAAA